GGCCUAAUAUUUGUGCAUGGUGAAAUGGCCCAAGUGUAGCGCACCAAAUGGGGACAUCUUGCAUGGAAGUGGAGUACAUGUGGCGCAUUGGAGUGGGACAAGUCCACUUGUUGCAUGAACAUGCAUGGACAUGGGAAUUGGCAAGUUAGGCCAAAUGAAAUCCAUGCAACGUGAAUUCCCAAAGUGGCCGGCACAUGUGAGACUAAAUGGUGGAGCCAUGUAGCGUGAAGGCCAAAUGGAGCAUUGCAUGUGAGAUUGCUAGGUGGCAAGGAAGCAUUGCGGCAAGUGGGGCGUGAGGGACUAAAUUGCAUGGCCACCUUAACACAUGCAGCGUGAAGAUGUGGGAGGGAAAUGUCCCGCCCAAAGGUGAGCCAACUUGGUGGGACCCAAGAUGCAAGGCGCCCAAUCACUUGGCCAAUAUUGUCUCCCGCCCAAUGGAGUGCAAGGUGUCAUUGGCAGCAGCCUCCCCAUGGCCACUACCUUGAUUUGCCGCCCAAUCAACCCUCAAUUAGUGUGAUUUAAAUUUGUUUAAAUCCAGCCACACAAGGGCCAUCAUGGGGCAGCCGGCCAAGCAUGUAUAUAAGGGACUUUGUCCCAUUUUUCUUGGAACCGAGAGAGUGAGUUUGAGUGAGCGGGAAUCACCAUUUGUGAGAGCUUUGAGAGAGAGCUUGUUUUCCUUUCUUUAUGGCAAUUGUAUAGCUAUUUGUAAAGGAAUAAGAGAAGUAGUUUCUACUUCCUAAAUCUCUUGUCUCUACCUUUCUUGAAUGCUUGUUUAAUG
rnacentral:misc_RNA from 1 species